AAAAAAAAAAAAAAAAAAAAACAAACUCUUAGCUGAUGGUGGUGGUGCACGCCUGUAGUCCCAGCUACUCGGGAGGCUGAAGCGGGAGAAUUGCUUGAACCUGGGAGGUCAAGGCUGCAGUGAGCCAUGAUUGCGCCACUGCACUCCAGCCUGGGUGACAGAGGAGCAAGACCCUGUCUCAAAAAAAAAAAAAGAAAAAAAAAGAUGGUCUUCAGCACUAACCUGCAAGUUGGCCCUUUCCAGUACAGGAGAGUAGGGAUGGAGGGAGGUCAUUUCCUUGACGCUAGUCUCUCAGCUUGGACAUUCCUCUGAGGAAUGCUUAACAGGAUGAGGGAGGGGGCUUCGCCUCUGGCCAGUGCCCAGCUUAAGUAGCCUUUUGGAAAAGUUCCAGAGGACAUGGAGUGGGGUGGGGUUCUGCAGGCAGCCAUUCCUCAGUCUACACAACCCUCUGGUUCCACAAGAAUUGGGAGAUGAAUUUGGCUGCCUGCACUUCCCAGCCUGCAUCAGUUUUUUAAAUUUUUAUUUAUUUAUUUUU
rnacentral:lncRNA from 1 species